rnacentral:rRNA from 2 species
CAAUAAGCGGAGGAAAAGAAACUAACAAGGAUUCCCCUAGUAACUGCGAGUGAAGCGGGAUGAGCUCAAAUUUAAAAUCUGGCGUCUUCGGCGUCCGAGUUGUAAUUUAGAGAAGUGUUUUCCGCGCCGGACCGUGUACAAGUCUCCUGGAACGGAGCGUCAUAGAGGGUGAGAAUCCCGUCUUUGACACGGACCCCCGGUGCUCUGUGAUACGCUCUCGAAGAGUCGAGUUGUUUGGGAAUGCAGCUCAAAAUGGGUGGUGAACUCCAUCUAAAGCUAAAUAUUGGCGAGAGACCGAUAGCGAACAAGUACCGUGAGGGAAAGAUGAAAAGCACUUUGGAAAGAGAGUGAAACAGUACGUGAAAUUGUUGAAAGGGAAACGCUUGAAGUCAGUCGCGUCCGCCAGGGUUCAGCCUCACGGUGUACUCUCUGGUGGACGGGCCAGCAUCACUUUCGAUCAUCGGACAAGGGAGUGAGGAAUGUGGCACCUUCGGGUGUGUUAUAGCCUCUCUUCGUAUACGGUGACCGGGAGUGAGGACCGCCUUUUGUAGGAUGCUGGCGUAAUGGCUUUAAACGACCCGUCUUGAAACACGGACCAAGGAGUCUAACAUGCCCGCGAGUGUUCGGGUGGAAAACCCGUGCGCGUAAUGAAAGUGAAAGUUGGGAAGGCUGUCGCGGCCUGCACCGACGCCCGGACUUGAGAUUUAUCGAAGGUUCUGCGGUAGAGCGUGUAUGUUGGGACCCGAAAGAUGGUGAACUAUGCCUGAAUAGGGUGAAGCCAGAGGAAACUCUGGUGGAGGCUCGUAGCGAUUCUGACGUGCAAAUCGAUCGUCGAAUUUGGGUAUAGGG